rnacentral:rRNA from 1 species
GUAGUCCAUGCCGUAAACUAUGAUUACUCGAUGUGUGCGAUACACUGUACGCGUCUAAGCGAAAGCGUUAAGUAAUCCACCUGGGAAGUACGACCGCAAGGUUGAAACUCAAAGGAAUUGACGGGGGCCCGCACAAGCGGAGGAGCAUGUGGUUUAAUUCGAUGAUACGCGAGGAACCUUACCCGGGCUUGAAAGUUAGUGACGAAUCGUGAAAGCGGUUCUCUCUUCGGAGCACAAAACUAGGUGCUGCAUGGCUGUCGUCAGCUCGUGCUGUGAGGUGUUGGGUUAAGUCCCGCAACGGGCGCAACCCCUAUCAUUAGUUGCCAUCAGGUAAUGCUGGGAACUCUAAUGAAACUGCCCGCGCAAGCGGUGAGGAAGGUGGGGAUGACGUCAAGUCAGCACGGCCCUUACGUCCGGGGCUACACACGGGGGGACAAUGGCAGAUACAAAGGGCAGCUACAUGGUGACAUGAUGCUAAUCUCUAAAGUCUGUCUCAGUUCGGAUUGAAGUCUGCAACUCGACUUCAUGAAGCUGGAUUCGCUAGUAAUCGUAUAUCAGCAAUGAUACGGUGAAUA